rnacentral:tmRNA from 1 species
CGCAGACGAUUAUAACUACGCUGUAGCUGCUUAAGGCAGCUUCCGUCCUGCUGAAAUCCUUCCUGCAGAUUUCAGGCCAGGGCGUCGACUUUGCAGGAUCGCUUAUUAAGGGCACCUGAACUUUAAAAGCUAAAUUUUUCAGGAUAUAUUGUCAUGUAUCCAUCUCAUAGGAGACACGGCAACGAAUUACAAAUUUUGAGAUAAGUAUGUAGAAGCCCAGGUUGAUUGUUUUCGGACGCGGGUUCAACUCCCGCCGCCUCCACCA